rnacentral:lncRNA from 1 species
UUCAGAAGUUCUAUAAAACAAUCCGUAUAUAUUGUUAAAAUCAUGUAAACAUAUAUAGGAGUAGCUUCUUACUGGGAAUCCCGUUCUACCGUAGCAAAAGUGGGAUAACAUUAUAAGGACCAUGUGCUCACUAUAUAGGUUCUCUUUUUGCUCUAGAAUAUGAGGGUCUUACACAGUAAAUAUACGAUUCCUAUGAUAGUCCUCUCAUUUCAUUUUUGCCAAAGUGGAACGAGAUUCUUGCUAAGAAGGGGCUCGUAUCUAAACUACCUAGUACCUAUUUAUAGAACUCUGCUCUUAAACAAAACAACAUAAAAUUGCAAUUUAACCCUCACACCAAAACUGCACAAAAAUAAAAUAUAUGGGCAAUUUAGUAAUUACAUGAACAUAAAUUUUGUUAUUAUUUACAACAACCUCACAGCCAGGUCAAUAUGGCAUGCCCUAUUUAAAAAUUAAAAAUAAAAUAAAAUAAAAUAGUAAAUAAAAAACAUGCCUACUUUAGAAGAAACUGCUCAUCAUUGUCCUAAUUUUUAUAAUUGAUUUCUUUUUUUUUUUUAGAAUUUUAAAAACUAAUCACACUUCAUAGUAAAAAAAACAAAAUGAAAUGAAAUUAUUCACACACAGUGUGUGCAGGCAUCUACUAGUAUACAUGUAACAAAACCUAAGUCAUACAGUAUACCUUCGAACUUGUUGUCGUCAAGGUAUAUGCCCUUCACCAUUGUUAAGUUGCCUAUUUCUCUGGGUAUGCUACCUGUUAAAUAUGUGCAUGCAUUCCAACAAAAAAGAAGGAAAAAAAAAAACCAACGAGAUGAUUGUUAUACAUCUUAUAUAUAGAUGUUAAAAUGAAACAAAUAUAUCAAAAUGUAAUGAUGAAGCAAGCAAUCAUUAAUGAGAGGGAGAGAGAGGGGGAAGGGCUCCAAAUCCCGCGUUUUCUGUCCCAGAUUUUUAUGCUCCGAAAAUGUCCUCCCACACACCGUUUCAUUUCCAUGUCGUGAUUUCAGUUUAUUUACAAGACUGCCACUCAAUGCUUUCGGCCAAAUUUCACUUUAUUUACAAAAAAUGCCACUCAGGCUUAAGGCCCGAUUUUCAGCCGCUGCAUCUCAGGUUUGACUCGGGGAGAGAGGGGAAGGGGACAUAACAGCUGACAAAUUGGAGAGAGAUGAUCGCUCCCAUUUUUCACUCGGAGACAGCUGGGUGUGGCUGUGGCUGUGGCGAGAGGAGAGGAGGGGGACGGAGGGACUGGAGAGGAUGGGGACAGAGGGAUAGAGCUUCGGCUUCGGUUUGAUGAGAGGGAGAGAGAGCCUGCGGCUUUCAGAAUCACGAUGAUAGAAGAAGAAGCUCAGAAGUCUGAUACGCCAAGUUGGAGAAACCCUAAAAACCAGAGAAGAAGAAGAAGCUCAGAAAUCGGGUGAGGAUGUUGACAAAUCAGCAAGCCCAGUUUCAGGCGACUCUGCAAAACCAACAACCUGACCUCCGACGAGAGGAGAUUUGUCAGAUUCGAGCCGAACCGAGGCUGUCGUCGACUGAGAGAACAUCAUCAAUCCCGACUUUUGGAUCGACUCCCUCUACCAAGGAAGAAAAUAUCGGUAGUCCGAAAACACGGAAAUAUCGAUGGAAAUAUCGGGAUAAUAUCGAUAUCGAUAAAAAUUACAUGGAAACCACGGAAAUUGUAAGAAAAACUUGGAAAUUUUUAUUGAAACUUUGCAGGAUGUUUAUUUAGUCAAUUAUCUAUUAGUUUAUCACAAAAAAUUGGAAGGAAAUGCAUUGCAUGAUGGAUUUAACAUUAUCAAGUUGAUUAUAUAGCGAGCUGACAAACAUUGUGACUAUAGAAAAUAUGUAGAAAUUAAUGAAAGAAGUCUAAACACACCAUAAUCAUUUAUAUAUAAUGAAUUAGUACAAUAUUUUACACUUUAUACAUUGCAUGGUAAGAUACAUGAGUGGCUUAGUACCACAUAGAGUUCCUAUGAGGUUCAAAAUUUUCAAUAUCUUCAUCAUCUCUAUGUGUAGAGUAAGUGUAUUUUGAAGAGUAGUUACCAACUAUGGCAAUGGUUUUCAAGAACCAAAACCCAAAAGUCAAUAGGAAACCGAAUACUUCGGUAUUUUUCGGGAUUACCAAACAAAUGGGAUUUGGAAACCAAUCCCAUAUCGAAAAUUUCGGUAUUUUUCGGGAUGGGAUUCCCGAACUUCAGGAUGGUUUUGGUUUGGGAUUUUUCGGUUUAAGUUUGGGACUUUUUCGGUUUGGUUUGGGAUUUUCCGGAAUUUUUUCCAGCCCUUGACCAAAUAAAAAAUAGAAAAAUUAAAAACCACUUGCCAUUGACUAAGUAAUUAAUUGACACAAUUUAAAAUAUAAUACCACAAAAAAUUUGGAAUAUGUGCAAAUUUGUUUCUUGUAAAAAUAAACCAUAUAUAUAAAUAUUGUAGCUUAUUAUCAUAACAACAUAAGUGGUACAGUGGUUAAGGCCUUAAGAAGUUAAGGGGGAGGGGUUCGAACCCCUUUAUGCUCAAAACCGAGUCUUUUCCAAAUUUUAAGGAAUUUUUGGACUAAUAUCGCGAUAUUUUGACGAAAACUCAUUGGAUACUCCUUAAAAUAUCGGUAAGUCAAAAAAAACGAAAAUAUCGGCGAUAUUUCGCCGAUAUUUUCGAUAUUUAAAUCCAUGCCCUCUACCUCCUCCCUGUCCGCGACUCCUGCUCCGUCUCUCUUCUUGCGAGUUCGCUUGGGUUCUGCUCCCCAGCUAUUUCAAGCACAAAAACUUCUCCAGUUUCAUUCGUCAGCUCAUACAUAUGUAAGCUCUUCGCCUCUUAAUAUUUUGAUUUAGGCAAAUUGCCAAGGACAAAUCAAUCAUUUUCUGAAGACCCCCAAUGCUAUCGGGAAUGUUUCCGGAGAAAUGGUUAUUUGACAAGUCCAUAUUCAGCACAUCUUUCAACUUUCCGAUGUCUUCCGAGAGUGGUCCAACUAGAGAAUUGGAUGACAAGUUUAGGUCCAAUAUAUACUUGAGUUCCCACAAGGAAGAUGGUAUUUUUGAAGUUAACAAAUUGGACCCUAACCAUAGAAAUCUUAGAGCUACUGCCAAAGUACCCAAGCAGGAAGGAAUAGAACCAAAGAGCCGAUUACCAGCCAAAGCUAAAUAGGCUAGGUUGUUUAGUUGACAGAGUUCAUACGGGAUAUGCCCUUGCAGUUCGUUAUCAUACAAAUACAAAACUUGGAGAUUUUGUAGCCUUUGUAUUGAAGUUGGAAUUGCUCCACUCAACUGAUUGGUUCCCAGGUCUAGUAAUAUCAAGCUGCUCAAGUUGCCAAUUUCUACUGGAAUGUUGCCCCUGAUGUUGGAACGGAAUAAACUCACAUAUAGGAGUGACGUAGAGAGAUUCCUGCGAGAAGCUGGAAUCGUGGUGUUUAGUGGAUUGUCUCCCAAGAAUAACCUUGUCAAAUUUCUAAGAUUAAACAAGCAAGAGAGAGUGCUUGCUGCUUGUGGAGUAGAAGCAUCAAUUGUCAAAUUAUUCGAGUACAAUAAAAGAUACUCAAGGUUUUUCAAGGAACAGAGCGUGCUAGGAAGAAACCCGGAAAAUGAGUUUUCGCUCAUGACUAGCACCCUGAGCUUGGAAGCAUUGGAGAAGUUAGGGAGUAGUCCACCCACGAGGUUAGUUCUGGCUACAGUAAAGAAUUCUAGGUUUGGAGCGUUAAGACCGAUGUUUGCUGGGAGGCUACCUGAGACCUGAUUGAAAGAAAGCCUUAUUAUUUUUAUCAUGGAGAGAUUGAAGAGUUUGGAUGGGAUGACGCCACUGAGAUUAUUAAAUUGCAGUCCCAAAAUCUCUAACUGCGGAAGAUCACCAAUCUUAUCCGGUAUUGUACCUGUAACAAUUUCAGAACGUUUGUAUUAAAUUUGUAACUUCAGUUUAACUAAAAACUAAAAAACAAAUUGAUUAUAAAAUGCCCCCAAAUUUAUUACCUGUUAAAUGAUUCUCACCAAGACGAAUAUCGGUUAAGUAGGUCAAAUUGCCAAGACUUUUGGGUAUGCUUCCACGGAAAUUGUUAGAGUAUAAUGAGAUUUCACGAAGCUCUUUGCGUUGCCACAGUUUGGAGGGAAUCAGACCGCCAAGCUGGUUUCGACCCAAAUCAAAUAUUCGAAUACUCGAAAGAUGCUCACAUAUAUUGUCCGGAAGACUGCCACUCAUGUUGUUUCCGUAUAGAGUCAAAAAAGUCAAAGAAGAUAUGUUGAAGACAGGUACAAGAGCAUAGGCUUUUAGGGCAUUGGACUGCACAAACAACUCCUCCAGUUGAACUAAACUGCCCAUCUCGUUCGGAAGUUCUAUAAAUCAAUCCGUAUAUAUUGUUAAAAUCAUGUAAACAUAUAUAGGAGUAGCUUCUUACUGGGAAUCCCGUUCUACCGUAGCAAAAGUGGGAUAACAUUAUAAGGACCAUGUGCUCACUAUAUAGGUUCUCUUUUUGCUCUAGAAUAUUAGGGUCUUACACAUUAAAUAUACGAUUCCUAUGAUAGUCCUCUCAUUCCAUUUUUGCUAAAGUGGAACAAGAUUCCUGCUAAGAAGGGGUUCGUAUCUAAACUACCUAGUACCUAUUAAUAGAACUCUGAAUAGAACUCUGCUCUCAACCAAAACUACAUAAAAUUGCAAUUUUAACCCUCACACCAAAACUGCACAAAAAUAAAAUAUAUGGGCAAUUUAGUAAUUACAUGAACAUAAAUUUUGUUAUUAUUUACGACAACCUCACAGCCAGGUCAAUAUGGCAUGCCCUAUUUAAAAAUUAAAAAUAAAAUAAAAUAGUAAAUAAAAAACAUGUCUGCUUUAGAAGAAACUGCUCAUCAUUGUCCCAAUUUUUAUAAUUGAUAUCUUUUUUUUUUAGAAUUUUAAAAACUAAUCACACUUCAUAGUAAAAAAAACAAAAUGAAAUGAAAUUAUUCACACAGUGUGUGUGUAGGUAUCUGCUAGUAUACAUGUAACAAAACCUAAGUCAUACAGUAUACCUUCGAACUUGUUGUCGUCAAGGUAUAUGCCCUUCACCAUUGUUAAGUUGCCUAUUUCUCUGGGUAUGCUACCUGUUAAAUAUGUGCAUGCAUUCCAACAAAAAUGAAGGAAAAUAAAUAAAUAAAACAAACGAGAUGAUUGUUAUACAUGUUAUAUAUAGAUGUUAAAAUGAAACAAAUAUAUCAAAAUGUAAUGAUGAAGCAAGCAAUCAUUAACUUAUAUUCCUAGGUGGCUGGUACUGGUGGUAUGUACGUACCCGAUAGUUGGUUCCUGCUUAGAUUAAUUAUUUCGAGUGCAAAUAAGUUGAAGAUAGCAGCCGGUAUGAAACCCGAGAAGCCAUUACCGUACAAUUUGAUGGUUUGAAGUUUAGCAAAGGACCCAAACCACGAAGGAAUGGUUCCCAUAAAGCCGUUGUUUCCAAAGUUAAUCUCCUUCAACCGGCGCAAACGAGACAGUUCUUGCGGUAGGGGACCAUGAAAGCUAUUAUUCUCAAGCCCAACUCAACGAGAAAUGAGAGGUUGCCUAGAUGUGGAGGAAUAACUCCGGCAAGACCCAUGUGCGAGAGAUUUAAGGCCGUGACUCUGUGGUGGCUAGCACCGCAGCUAACGCCAACCCAGUUGCAAAUGUUGGAAUUGGAGGCAGAGGACCACGUGUCCAUUUCUAUCAGCAACUUCAACUUUCAGGCGGCUUAUUUCAUCUUGCAAUGCCAUCUCGUAGACAGCAUGCAGCCUUUCCAUUUCCAUCUUAUCCGUUUCACAUUGCCUUAUUUCGUACUCUAACCUCUUGUUUGCCUUAUUUCGUACUCUAACCUCUUGUUUCUCAAACUCAAUUCUUCAAGUCUCGUGUCCAAGACAAUUUGUUUCGCUGCAAAACUUGAAUGCCUGCAGGUCUGCUUUCUCAAGCGAGAAUUGUUCCUGUGCAUCACGCAAUGCGCCCUUCAGUUGCAUCACCUCAAGAUCGCGGCCGAAUAUGUCACCUCACAAUCCUCUCCUGCAGCUCCGAAACAUGCUUUCUCUCAGAGUCAAGUUGAGAUUCAAAACCUUGCAUUUGAUCAGCGCCUUUGGAAAUUCUAUCGGCAAGUUCAUGCUUCAAAUUCGCAAUCUCUUUGUUCGACCCCUUAAGCCUUUCUUUAGUCACUUCCAAGUCCUCCAUCAAUUUCCGAAUCUCAUUAUCACUGUCUAAUGCACGAUUUUCCAACUCAACUGUCUGUUCUUGCAGCUCGAAGACACACAUUUUCUCCAUUGUAAGAUCAGACUCCUUUACCUGGAGCUUCUCUUUCAAGCUCAGCAAUCUUCUGCUGCCAUCCCUGACUGUCGAAAUCAGCGCUCGGAGGUGGAACCGAGUAAUUGCUGACCGGGGAAUUAGGAGAAUCUGACUCGGAUCCCAAUGAUGAAGAGGAAGAUGAUUCAGCGCCAUUCUUUAUAGAAAGAGCUGGACUAGAACCAUCUGAGCUUAGUGAUAUAUCAAAACCAACAACUUGAUCGUCGGAUUUCCGCAAACCAUGUUUAGCAUCGGGAGUCAGCAGAGGAGAGCCUUGGUUGAAACCAUAUUCAGAAUCUCCAAACCCCUUAUGUGCUUUGUUCAAGUGUUCAUAGCAUCCGGCCAGUGAACGAUACAUCCGGUGAAAUUCCUGAACUAAUUCCGGCUUCUUCUGCAAAAACGUUUCGUCUUUGUUGGGCAAAGAAUCACCAUCUUCUUUGAUCAGCUUCAGCAUUUGCUUAAUGCUCUGGUCCAUCUCUGUAAGAUUCAGCAUUUUAAACAUUUUAUUAGGUCAAAUCAUCGCAGAAGGAUUACAGUAACAAACAAAUUGUAAUCAGCAAGAACAAACAAGAUGAGCUCGCAAAUAACCACUAACCUUCCAGAUAUUCUACCAGCCACAUUGAACUAUCUGGAGUGAUACUAUUGUCCAACCCGGCUGAAUCUGACUUCUUCAGUUCUGUUUUCUCCAUAUCAACCAUCUGCUGACAUCAAAUGAUAUAAAGUAAACCACAUAAGACAUCAAAAUAAAAAGAGAAAAGUACUGGAUUUCUGUAAUCCCAUAUCACUCGGGGCUUUUUGGUGGUUAGGAUUUGAUUGAACAAGAUGAAGCAUGGAUACCAAUAAGGUGAUACUAUACACACGGCACGAUAAUACGUAAAAUCUCGAAAAACUAGGAUACACUGCGUCAUGGAUACGACAAUAAAAAUACAUAAUUUAAAACAUAUUUCAACGUAAAAACAUCCAAAUUCAAGUUCAUUCAAGUGUGAGAGUUAUAUUCCUUAUUUUAAUUAGAGACAAACUCUUUGUAUUCAUCUACUUUCAACUAAAGCUUUGUUUCCUAUUGAUUUUCUCCUCUUAAUUUUUUAUUUGAAAUUGUAACGAUAUCCUAAAAGACAAAUACUUGUAUCCGGCGAGUAUGGUAUCCACUGAAGUAUCGAAUACGAGAUACGCGUGCUCCAUCAACGAAUGAUAACGUGUAAUUCAAGGUACCUGUGAAGAUAAAAAUGAAUGAUUUUUCAUUUGUAGUAUGUUAUAAGAGAUUAGACACGAAGAAAACAUAUUCUUCGUAAUCUACCAUUUUGUGGGGAUUUGAAGGGAUAAGUUUACUUCACGAGCAAUACCCCUAUUUUUUACUUUCAGUUUGAACAAAAUUUUUAAUAUCAUCAGCUAUCCAAUCCAAUCUUAGACACUAAACGAGCGCUUAAAGAAGAGGGAUUUCGAUGGCUCCAGUAACCAAACUAUCAAUUGUGAUGCCCAUAGAAAAACAGAAGUAAUUAAAGGGAAAAUUACAAAAUCAAAUCAAAUCAAAUACACCACUGAAUCAGAUCCCAAAUAAGACUUUUCUUACCCUAUAAAUUUCCAGUAGUUCUUAUCAAUAGAGAAAUCCUCAGUUUAAGCAUACCAAACCAGAUGCUUGAAUAAAUUAAAACAAAAAGCGAUUCUUAAAAAUGCAUAAUCUGUAUGCAAUCGAUUAUAUCAACAUAGAAGAGUGAGCUCCCUGUCACUGACCUUUUGCUGCGACACAGGUGAAGAGACGAGAGAGAGAGAGAGAGAGAGAGAGAGAGAGAGAGAGAGCUCCAGAUCCAAGCCCUGCCCAAAUCAGAAGAUAAGUGAAGCGAUUAAUCGGUGCUUUUGCCUUUUAAGCUAAAAGCGGCUUUUUUCCAAAUUCAAAAUGGAUUCAUUCGGUUGGGGACAACGAGGAAAGUGCUGAGAGAGAGGGGGAAGGGCUCCAAAUCCCGCGUUUUCUGUCCCAGAUUUUUAUGCUCCGAAAAUGCCCUCCCACACGCCGUUUCAUUUCCAUGUCGUGAUUUCAGUUUAUUUACAAGACUGCCACUCAGAUGCUUUUGGCCAAAUUUCACUUUAUUUACAAAAAAUGCCACUCAGGCUUAAGGCCCGAUUUUCAGCCGCUGCAUCUCAGGUUUGACUCGGGGAGAGAGGGAAGGGGGACAUAACGGCUGACAAAUUGGAGAGAGACGAUCGCUCCCAUUUUUCACUCGGAGACAGCUGGGUGUGGCUGUGGCUGUGGCGAGAGGAGAGGAGGGGGACGGAGGGAUUGGAGAGGAUGGGGACAGAGGGAUAAAGCUUCGGCUUCGGCUUGAUGAGAGGGAGAGAGAGCCUGCGGCUUGCAGAAUCACGAUGAUAGAAGAAGAAGCUCAGAAGUCUGAUACGCCAAGUUGGAGAAACCCUAAAAACCAGAGAAGAAGAAGAAGCUCAGAAAUCGGGUGAGGAUGUUGACAAAUCAGCAAGCCCAGUUUCAGGCGACUCUGCAAAACCAACAACCUGACCUCCGACGAGAGGAGAUUCGUCAGAUUCGAGCCGAACCGAGGCUGUCGUCGACUGAGAGAACAUCAUCAAUCCCGACUUUUGGAUCGACUCCCUCUACCUCCUCCCUGUCCGCGACUCCUGCUCCGUCUCUCUUCUUGCGAGUUUGCUCGGGUUCUGCUCCCCAGCUAUUUCAAGCACAAAAACUUCUCCAGUUUCUUUCGUCAGCUCAUACAUACGUAAGCUCUUCGCCUCUUAAUAUUUUGAUUUAGGCAAAUUGUUAAGUUCUUGAAAAAAAUUGAAAGCAUUGUUCAUUUUUGUCCCAAAUUGGUUUGGUUCUGGUUUCGAAACAUAAACUCCUUCAUCUACGAUUCACUUAUUCCAUUCCAGGUAUUUCUCCGUUUCUCUUUUAAUUUCUUACUUUUUUAUUCAAGCGUUUAAUUUUUUUAUUAAUUAUAUUACAAAUAAGUAUUAUUGACCUUCAUGUGGUACCAAUCAAUCAAUUGAGAGAUGAGUUGUUUGAAUGUUUGAUUUUACUUGAAUCAGAGUCUCCAAGGAGGAGAAAGAGAACGAUAUGAAUGAUUUAGGGUUUGGGUGUUAGUGUGUGAGCAGGCGUAUUGAUGACUGUAAUCAAGGUAUCACUUAAGCUCUAAUUGUGACUGGUAAAUUUUGAAUGACUGUUGGUUAUUGUUAAAAUCCCAAAUGUAUGCAAUCCCACUUUCCAAUUUGUUGUGUGAAGACACACGGACCACAAUUGCUUCCUCUCAGCAUAAUUAGUUUCCACGAUUACUCUUAAACCCUAAUUAUCCCUUCUCUCUAAAAUCCAUUUUUCGAUUUCUGAAUAGGGUAAAUGGAUAUUGUUUCUGUGUGCAGAUAUUACUCGGAGAAGUUUGAAGGGCCCUGGGACAAGGAGGAUUGCAUUUCAGAGUAGCAGAAAUACAAGGCCACCCUCUCUUUGCGUAUCUAAUCUUACCCUUCUCCUAAAUUUUUAUCAAACUAUAGAUUUAUUUUGCUGAUUUUAUUUUUUGGGAUUUAUUACUUUUCCUUUAACUGGAAAUUUUAGGGUUUUUAAAGUAUAAUGUUAUCAAAUUCUAUUUUUCUAAUUUUCUUAUUUUUGGGCUUUGCAGAGAGGGCUAAUAUACUGAAUUUUUUAUCUUUGCAUGAUUUUUGGUCUUUGAAUGGGUAUGUGCUGCUUUUAACGUUUUGGUUCUCACCUGUUCCGUUCUUUGAUUUUUGUUGUAUGCCUCCUUCUAGGUUGCUUCGUGAUUUUCAUUUUCCAUUGUUGGAUUAUGGAAUUUGUAAAAAUGGUUGUAGUUUUGUGACCAAAUACCAGUAAGAGUGUGCCGAAACACAAAUUGGCAUGCAGUGAACAUACAUUGAAUUUGAACAAAAUUUAAUAUAUAAGUGAAGGCAUAUGCAGUGAACAGACAUGGAAUUUGAAAUUGAUAGGGUAGUUAAGCUUCUGCCUUAGUUAUUCUUUGUCACUCACUUUUGGAAUUUAAUUCAUUCAUUUCAAAGUCAUUCAUGUACUCUGUCUUACUCUAUUCACACAUUUUUAGUAUGCACCAUUGAAUUUUUUUUUGUCAUAUAUUAUUCACUCAUCUACUACACUAAUGUUGACAUUUGGGUAUCAUUUGUUUUCUCAUAUGUCCUAUUUUUAAGGGAAAUCUAAUAUAUAAACGGAUCAAAAAACUCCUGCUGCAGCACAUUGAAUUUGUUCAAAUAUUGAUUGUUUUCACUCUAUUCACUUCAGUUGUCGUCUUCUUCUUCGUUCUUUUUUCAAUGGCAAAGCUGAACGAUCCAUGGAGCACAUGUUGUUGAGCCUUUUGCUGCUACUGGUCUGGUCCAAUUCGAAUGAGUUGAUGGAGUACAAUCUUUAGGCCCGUUGGAGGAGCUGAAAAACCAGUCUCGACUCCGCCGACCGAGACAUAUUCCGAGAUAUGCUCCAGCUCAAUAACAAAUCAGACAUCAGCCCAGUACACUACUCUCACUCUUUCCUGCUUUCAUUUUCAUUUUUUUUGGAAUUUUGCGCUGAAUUUCAUUUGGUUAAUUUGUGAAAUUUUUUUUUCUUUUGUUAGGCAGCUUUUGGUGUGCCUGCGAAUGUUGAUUCGGCGAUGCGUUUACAAUAACAUCAAGAGGGAGAGAUUCAAAAGAUGUUCCCAGUGUAGCUGUUUCAGAGUUGAAGAGGAUGUUGAUGCUUUUGCUGCAGAAGUUUCAGCAAGAAUGAUGGCGAGAUGCACACAAGGAUCAGGUUAGAGAUCUGCGUUGUUUGACAUUUCUGUGUAAACACUUUUGAGUCUUAAAUAUAUCUCAAAUUUGGGGUAUCGGGUAUGGGCUGCUAAGGCUGAAAGUUCUUUUGGCUCAUACAUUAAAGCGGCAUGUGUGCUUUUGGCUCAUUUCUGUACAAAAGUUGAAUCUUUGAAUCUGCUUAUUUAUGUUUUGAAAUGAGUGUGUUUGUUCUUACUACUGGAAGUGUUUCAUGUGGAGAUUAAUCUUUGAAUCUGCUUAUUCAUGUUUUGGGAAUGUUAAUCUUUUUAAUUUUUUCUUUCCAGGACGAAAAUAUUUAACAAAAUGAAUUGUGAUUAGAAAGUUAAUUGAAGCUCUGAAAAAUUUCGUGGUAAAAAAGGAUGACAGAUUACUGUUGUUUUUUUUUCUCCUUCCUAUCCAAAAAUUACCUUUGAUUUUCUUGAUUGUGCAUUUAUUUAAUAUGUGCUAUUAUAAUCGUUCUCAGUAUAAUAGCAGGACCUACUACAUGAGCAAGACCAAGUAGCCGACCCUCUACAACAAAAUCAGCCCGCUCGGAAACCCUAGCUUGAAUGUGGUUCCAGAGCUCGACAACUGGGUCUACAAUGGCAACAAAGUCUGAGUCAUGGAGCUUCAGUGCAUCAUUCACGACCUCCGAAAGUGGAAACGCUUCUCCCAAGUCCUCCAGAUUUCCAUCUUUCUUUCUUGCCUUGCAAUUUGUGUUAUCCCCCGUUUGGUUGCUCAUACAAUGAAAGAAAAUUGAGAGAAGCAUCAAAGUAAUUAAAUUUUAGUUAAAGAAAGUGAGUGAAAGAGGGAAUUAGGAUUUUUAUUAGUUUAUGUGUUCCUCUCCCUCCAAACCUAAUGGCUUAGCCUUUGAUCUGAUCAAACCCACCUCCAAAACCCUUCCUUGAUCACCAUCUUCAGCAACCCAAUUCGGCGCUUACUCGGAUCAGGACCUCUUGGAGAUUCGGAGCUCCAGGUGAGAUAAUUUUCCCCAAAUUUUCCCCAAAUUGUAUUCAAUUUAUCUUGCUUCAUUUCAUUUUCCAUUUUAAUUUGGAAUUGGUUGAUAUGUUAGGUGGGUAUUGCAUGUAUAACGAACAAUUUUUUUGUUUGAUUGGGGUCAAAUUUUCCAACUUUCUUAGCUAUUUGGUCCCGUGUAUUUGAAAUCUGAAUAAUAUGAAUUAGGGUUUUUCUGUUAGUGUCCAAUUAGUGAUGAAAGGAUGCUUCUUUUUGUUAUCAUGCAUAUUUAAUCUGUAAACAUCUGAAAAGCUGCUUAAUUGAAGUGAGAUUUCCAGUUUUUUAACUCAAUUUCAUUUCUUAUAGACAAUUUUUUUUUCAAGAUUUCUAGGUUUCUUUUUGCUUUUUCUCUGAUAAAUUACUCAUCCGGAAGUUAAUUUUGUUCAAAUACCAAGUAUUGUUCUUGAAUUAAAGAUUUCUGGAUUUUUUUGCUGCUUCUUUUCUGUUAAAUUACUCAACUAGAAGUUAAUUUUGUUCAAAAACUUACUCUUCUUCAAUUAAUCUUACAAGAAAGCAUAUGAGAUUGUGGCACAUUAGGUGUUUGAUGAAAUGUGUCUGAGAAUCUGUUAGUAUAAUAUAUUAUAAUUCUGAAUCUCUUCUUCAGCUCUGCCCACAAGUGUGCGAAGGCGACAUGGUCCUGGUCGACGGUUCGGAAGCUCUGGUGAUUCUAACUGAAAAAGAGGUCAAUAACAAGAAGGUGAUGGAAUUCAAUGUUUUUUGUUUGUUAUAGAGGCAUAUUUGCAACAGCAUAUCAGAUAAUAAUUCUAGAUAGUCUGUUCUGAUAGCUUAGAUUGUGUUUCAUGAUGCAUAUGGCUGAAGCGGUUUUGACUACUUUUUGGAUUGCUCAUUAAUUUUUUAGCUGCCCUUGGCUGGUACAAAUAUAUAUAAGAAGUUUGUCAUUUUAUCAACUUUUACUCAGGUCAAAUUUAGGAUCCAUUUGUACUCAUGCGUAAUUGGGGUAAAGUGCACAUGCUUUGUUUUCUGUUGUAUUUUUUCAUCUAGGGGAUAACGUUUUGUUGUUUGUUGGAAGGAAUAUUAAAACACAUUCACACCCUAUUUUGUCAAAUUGUUCUAAAGUAUCUCAUGCUGGUUUUAGAAUUCUCUCAACUUUCUAACUCAAAUCUGUGCCAAGAGAACCCAACUAAAGUGGUUCGCUGCUCCAUGUAUGAAGUAUUAGUGAAUUAUUUGUAAUUUUACGAAACAAAACGAAUUUUUUUGUGUUGUAAGCAUACAUAUUGAAAUUUAUGUUAUAAAUUUUUUGGUAAGAAACAGAUGUAAAUUAGAAUCAUACUAAUAUAGGUAUGCUGUAUACAUAACUUCGAUGGUACCAUAAGUUCAGAAUUAAUCUUUAGUGUCAUUAAAAAAUAUACGUAAAUUUAUAUACAUAAAUAUGAUAGCACCAUUAAUUUGGGGUACUGUUAUAUUUAGUACAGACAAUAUGAUGUCGUUCAGGUGUAUUUAACUAAUAUCUGCAGUUUUUCAAUUCAUCUAGGGUAUUUGUGAUUUGAACGACACUAAAAAAAUUUAUGGGUUAUAGGAACCGCGGGUUAAGAAAAUGGGUCAAAUUUAGGUCGAAGUUGUAAGAUCAUUUACAUAUUACAGAAUGAAUGAUAGCAUCUUUGGGGCUGAAAAUUGGAGUAACUUCGUUCCUUUUGUUAAAAAGAUGAGCACAAAUUGGUGAAGCAGCCAAAAAAACCAACUUAAGUAGAAGUUUAGAAGUUUGUCACUUCCUGAUAUAUUGACUGAAAUAACAAAAAGAAAAUAAUGUAGUUUUUGAAGAUCGAAAACAACAAUAAGAAAAUGGAUCCGAAAAUAUAGAGAACAAAGAACUAAGAAUUCACUCCUCCAGAGUCCUUCAAAUACUUGGCCUUGAUUUUAUUCAGUGCGACUAAGGCAUCUUUCAUGUUAAUCCUUUCUUUCGGCAAUGCUGCAGUGCAAGCUAAAGCUAAUCUCAUAACGGAUGAUAAGCAAUCCCUCCUGCUCACGAAACCACCAUCUUCCUCCGUCCCAAGUAUAUCGGCAUCCACAACUUCAUCUAUAGCAGCAUUUAGAAAUAAUGAAUCUGCAAUCCAUUGCUUUAAAUUCAUUUCCCCAUCAAACAUCUCAUCCGUUGGCUUCCUUUUUGUGAAUGUCUCCAUGAGUACAAUACCAAAACUAUACACAUCCCCACUCGUCGAAACGCUUCCUUCCAUCCCGAACUCUGCAAAAUUUGUAUGUGAAUUUAGUUAUGUAUGAUAAAAAGAAAAUUAUAACUCCUAAUAAAACCAACAUAAACAAAAUUGAAAAAAUACAUCACCUGGAGCCAUGUAUCCAACUGUGGCUAAGGUCAUUGUUUCCGUCAUCGAAUCUCCACUGCCGAUGAGUCUUGCAAUGCCAAAAUCAGCAACAUGUGCAACCAUCUCAUCAUCUAAUAGUAUAUUGCUUGGUUUCACGUCACAAUGAACGAUAGGUAUCGAGUAACCUUGAUGAAGAUAUUCUAGUGCCAAUGCAACAUCUUUCAUUAUGUCCAACCUCUGCAGGAUAGUCAUGGAGCGGUUUGGAGAAUACAACCACUGUUCGAGGCUUCCAUUAGGCAUCAAUUGAAGCACCAGGGCUUUGAAAUCAAGUUCAUCGCAAUAACUUAUGAUUUUAAUGAGAUUCCGAUGACGGAUAUUGCUUAGCAUUUCACAUUCCUUCGCAAAACUCUUGAAUGCCCCUUCUAGCUGUAAAUUGAAAACCUUGAGGGCGAUAUCUAUCCCAUCUGACAGUGUUCCUCUGUAUACUGAGCCAAACCCCCCUAUGCCUAGUAAGUUACUCUCGUGAAGUCCAUUUGUCGCCCUUACAAGUUCUAGGCGCGAAACUCUUCUCCAAAGAACUUGACGUAGCAAGGCAGUUUCUCUUACAAGUUCAACAUUCCUUUUCCUGCAUAGCACCAGAAUCAAUGCAGCAGCCGCUAGGAGUAUUACUGACAUGACCCCUGAGAUGAUAUAUUUAGCUUUCCUCCAAUUUGGCUCAACUUUUGUUCUAUAUUUGCAUAAUGGAACAUGGAGUCGGGAAGUACUGCAGAGUGCACCGUUUGAUACAAACGAAUCAUCAGAGAAGUUUCCGAAAGGCCCGCUGGUUGGAAUUUCUCCUUGGAGUUUGUUGAAAGACAAAUUCAGAUGCUUGAGAUACAAGAGGGCUUCCAAUGACUUUGGGAUCACUCCAGAUAGAUUGUUUUUGGACAAAUCCAAGAAUUCUAGGCUUAGCAAGGUUUUAAAUGAACCGGGAAUAGGGCCUUCUAAAUAAUUGUUUGCCAAGGACAAAUUAAUCAUUUUCUGAAGACCCCCAAUGCUACCGGGAAUGUUUCCGGAGAAAUGGUUAUUUGAUAAAUCCAUUACCACCACAUCUUUCAACUUUCCGAUGUCUUCUGAGAGUGGUCCAACUAGAGAGUUGGAUGACAAGUUGAGGUCCAAUAAAUACUUGAGUUCCCACAAGGAAGAUGGUAUUUUUGAAGUUAACAAAUUGGACCCUAACCAUAGAUAUCUUAGAGCUACUGCCAAAGUACCCAAGCAGGAAGGAAUAGAACCAGAGAGCCGAUUACCAUGCAAAACUAAACCGGCUAGGUUGUUUAGUUGACAGAGUUCAUACGGGAUAUGCCCUUGCAGUUCGUUAUCACACAAAGACAAAACUUGGAGAUUUUGUAGCCUUUGUAUUGAAGUUGGAAUUACUCCACUCAACUGAUUAUUUCCCAGGUCUAGUGCUAUCAAGCUGCUCAAGUUGCCAAUUUCAACUGGAAUGUUGCCCCUGAUGUUGGAAUGGAAUAAACUCACAAGUAGGAGUGACGUAGAGAGAUUCCUGCGAGAAGCUGGAAUCGUGGUGUUUAGUGGAUUGUCUGCCAAGCCUAACUUUGUCAAAUUUCUAAGAUUAAACAAGCAAGAGAGAGUGCUUGUUGCUUGUGGAGUAGAAGCAUCAAUUGUCAAAUUAUUCGAGCACAAGUUAAGAUACUCGAGGUUUUUCAAGGAACAGAGCGUGCUAGGAAGAAACCCGGUAAAUGAGUUGUAGCUCAUGUCUAGCACCCUGAGCUUGGAAGCAUUGGAGAGGUUAGGAAGUAGUCCAGCCACGAGGUUAGUUCUGGCUACAGCAAAGAAUUCUAGGUUUGGAGCGCUAAGACCGAUGUUUGCUGGGAGGCUACCUGAGAGCUGAUUGAAAGAAAGCCCUAUUCUUCUUAUCGUGGAGAGAUUGAAGAGUUUGGAUGGGAUGACGCCACUGAGAUUAUUUAAUAGCAGUGCCAAAACCUCUAACUGCGGAAGAUUACCAAUCUCAUCCGGUAUUGUACCUGUAACAAUUUCAGAACGCUUGUAUUAAGUUUGUAAAUUCAGUUUAACUAAAAACUAAAAACAAAUUGAUUAUGAAAUGCCCCCAAAUUUAUUACCUGUUAAAUGAUUCCCACCAAGAUGAAUCUUGGUUAAGUAGGUCAAAUUGCCAAGACUUUUCGGUAUGCUUCCACGGAAAUUGUUAAAGCGUAAUGAGAUUUCACGAAGCUCUUUGCAUUGCCACAGUUUGGAGGGAAUCAGACCGUCAAGCUGGUUUUCACCGAAAUAAAAUUUUCGAAUACUCGAAAGAUGCCUACAUAUAUUGUUCGGAAGACUACCACUCAUGUUGUUUCCGGUUAGACUCAAAAUAGUCAAAGAAGAUAUGUUGAAGACAGGCACAAGAGCAGAGGCUUUUAGGGCGUUGAACCCCACAUACAACUCCUCCAGCUGAACUAAAUUGUCCAUCUCGUUCGGAAGUUCUAUAAAUCAAUCCGUAUAUAUUGUUAAAAUCAUGUAAACAUAUAUAGGAGUAGCUUCUUACUGGGAAUCCCGUUCUACCAUAUCAAAAGUGGGAUAACAUUAUAAGGACCAUGUGCUCACUAUAUAGGUUCUCUUUUUGCUCUAGAAUACGAGGGUCUUACACAGUAAAUAUACAAUUUUUAUGAUAGUCCUCUCAUUUCAUUUUUGCUAAAGUGGAACGAGAUUCCUGCUAAGAAGGGGCUCGUAUAUAAACUACCUAGUACCUAUUUAUAGAACUCUGCUCUCAAACAAAACUACAUAAAAUUGCAAUUUUAACCCUCACACCAAAACUGCACAAAAAUAAAAUAUAUGGGCAAUUAAUAAUUACAUGAACAUAAUUUUGCUAUUAUUUACGACAACCUCACAGCCAGGUCAACAUAGCAUGCCAUAUUUAAAAAUUAAAAAUAAAAUAAAAUAGUAAAUAAAAAACAUGCCUACUUUAGAAGAAACUGCUCAUCAUUGCCCCAAUUUUUAUAAUUGAUUUUUUUUUUUUUUUUUAGAAUUUUAAAAACUAAUCACACUUCAUAGUAAAAAAAAAUAUGAAAUGAAAUUAUUCACACACAGUGUGUGCAGGCAUCUACUAGCAUACAUGUAACAAAACCUAAGUCAUACAUUAUACCUUCGAACUUGUUGUCGUCAAGGUAUAUGCCCUUCACCAUUGUUAAGUUGCCUAUUUCUCUGGGUAUGCUACCUGUUAAAUAUGUGCAUGCAUUCCAACAAAAAAGAAGGAAAAAAAAAACAAACAGAUGAUUGUUAUAAAUCUUAUAUAUAGAUGUUAAAAUGAAACAAAGAUGUUAAAAUGUACUCAUGAAGCAAGCAACAUUAAUUUAUAUUCCUCCAGCUGACCUAAACUGCCCAUCUCGUUUGGAAGUUCUAUAAAUCAAUCCGUAUAUAUUGUUAAAAUCAUGUAAACAUAUAUAGGAGUAGCUUCUUAUUGGGAAUCCCGUUGUAUCGUAGCAAAAGUGGGAUAACAUUAUACAGAC